rnacentral:rRNA from 1 species
GAUGAGCGCUAGCGGCAGGCCUAACACAUGCAAGUCGAGGGGCAGCAUAAAUAAAGCUUGCUUUAUUGGUGGCGACCGGCGCACGGAUGAGUAACGCGUAUGCAACCUACCCUGUACUGGGGAAUAACCCGGAGAAAUUCGGACUAAUACCCCAUAAUGUUAAUUGAUGGCAUCAUUGAUUGAUUAAAGGUUACGGUACGGGAUGGGCAUGCGUUCCAUUAGCUAGUUGGUAUGGUAACGGCAUACCAAGGCGACGAUGGAUAGGGGGCCUGAGAGGGUGAUCCCCCACACUGGUACUGAGACACGGACCAGACUCCUACGGGAGGCAGCAGUGGGGAAUAUUGGACAAUGGGCGCAAGCCUGAUCCAGCAAUGCCGCGUGUGUGAAGAAGGCCUGCGGGUUGUAAAGCACUUUUGUUCGGGAAGAAAUCAUGUCGGUUAAUACCCGAUGUGGAUGACGGUACCGAAAGAAUAAGCACCGGCUAACUUCGUGCCAG